ensembl:lncRNA
CUUGGGGAGGUUUCUGAUGCAAAAUUAGAUAAAUUAAAUCUCUUAAUUAAUUAAAGAACUUGCUAUUCAGUAACACAAAAAUCUUCUAAAAAUUUUCUUUUAAAUAUAAUUAUUAGAAGAAUUCAUCAAAGGAAGCAGAGAGAACACUGAAAGAUUCAGAGAGAUGAAGGAACAUGCGAAAACAGUGAGACAACAAGAAGGAGCAGGUCACAGUGUCCAUCAGCUUUGCUUCUUUGGAAGGCCAAGUAUUAAGAAGAUAAAUAGAUACGGUCACUGGCAUGGAAGAUGGAAGAGACAUAACUGCAGAGGAAAAGGUCCCACAGAUUCAUAGCAUAGGAUGUCAGCAGAGACUAGUAUAACUAGUUUGGUUCAACUGACACAGCCUACCAAUUUAUGGGACGUCCUGUGAGAAAGUAUUGACUCAGCAUUGCAUCUUGGAAACUUCUGCCUAAGAACCCACCUAAAUAUAGUGAUUGUGGUUCCUCUAGACUAAAUUAAUUAUUGGACAAAUUAAAGAGUUAGGUAUAAGAUCACUCACUGUCCAGGGGAGUUCUGGCAGGCUUUUGACUUGUUUACAGAAGAAAAGGAACUGCUUAACGCAGGUAUUUUCUGAAAGCAACUUCUUGGUGUGUCACAGUGAAAAAGUAAGAAUGUGAGCUCCAUAAACUGAAAAAAAGUCCACUCAUAGUACACAAGUGAUUAUUCCAAUGGAAGCAAUUUUAUUUUAAAAAUAAAUAAAUGCUUUAUAUAAAAUUUUAUUUUUUAUUUUAUUUUAUUUUAUUUUUUGCAUAUAUGAUGUAUGUUACAGCUGUAUCAGGAUCUCCACUUUUAAGGUAAUGGUUGAAAUACUGGUCUGUGCUCAUACAUCAAAGAUUAUAUCCAUCCUUUGAUGCCUUGGUAGUCUUGCUAUUGCCAUGUUUCAGACCAAGAAAAAUCCUUUUCUUUUCUCUAAUUUCCUGCCAAGACUUGGAGAUAUAAGUUUCUGUGAAGCUAGAGCAGAACCUGGGGAGUGUGGAAGUUGGUAGGCUGCAGAACAGGAGAUACUCACCCUAGUUGCCCUCCAAUCUUUUCUAUGAGGUCGUCUGGAACUGGUUUACUUUCAGGUGAAGAAUUCAGCAUCUCUAUGUCUGCACUCGCAUAAUAAUAGUGAUUGAAGGACUCUGGAGCCUCCACAGGCUCAGACUGUAAGAGGUAAUUCUUUUACACCAUUGCCUCAAAGCUUCCUGAGGUACACAGAUGAACAAGUUCAAGCAAGUCCUGACCAAGGAUUGGGAAAUCCUUUGUCUGAAGGGACAACAGAUGGACAAGGCCAGGGGCAACGAGAGAGAGAGAGAUAACUGGCAGCUAAACGACCAGGAAACAGUCAGCUCAGGGGGUGCUCACAUGACACUUACCCAAGCGCCCAGGAAUGUCACGUAGGCAGGGAAGAAGGAAGAUAAAAGAAGGUCCAACAACCAUGAAGGCAGGUUUCUGACAACAGAUUCCUCACGACCUGCCUCUCCCUCCUGGACUUCCUCUAUGCUCUACCUGCUUGCUGCCUAAGGAUGGCCUCUCUGCUGCUGCUCUCCCCCCCCAAGGAGGUGUCUGCCAUCAGAUCCCUCACUAUGAAAGGCCUGCAUGCUGACGGACUCUCCAGGGCCUGCUACCGGCAACCUGCUGCUUCCACCCGGACUUCUUCCCAGACCUACUCUGUACCUGCACCUUCUUGCUGCCCAAGACCAGCCAUGCUGCUGCUGCUCUUCCCCGGUGCUUUUGCCCUGGACCGUCGGAACAUCUUGCAAGGGGACUACUGCCGGAUCCUGAAGGAUCAUCUCUGGACUGGACCUGGUGGAGGCCUUCCUUCUGCUGCAUGCACUCAAAUACUUGCCUGCUGUGCCCUGCGUUGGAUUCUCUGUCAAAACAACCUAGGAAACACUUUAUUUUGUUGAAUUUUACUGGUUUUGUUGAAAAGCUUCUGUGGUGGAUCUCAGCUGGCUUCCAGGUGCCCCCCACAUCGCUUUCUCAGUCCCGCUCCUCAAUAAGGCAGAAGGAGUAAAAACAGCUUGUGGGUCAAGAGAAACCAAUUACCGUUACACCAGUAAGCAAAACAGAUUUAAUGUGUGGAAGAUUAAUUUAUAGCCAGUUAAUAACAUAGUAGAAUAGUGAGAAAUAAACCAAAACCAACUACCCCUUUCUGCACCCAGUUCUGGAGUCCCCAACACAACAAGGACAUGGAGUUGUUAUCCAUAGGAGGGCCACAAAGAAGACCAGAGGGCUGGAGCCAUUUUUCC